GGGGACGCAACCUCGCGCCAACUGUCAAAAUGUUUUGAAAAACAAAAUGCUCUUAUUUCGAUGCAUUUCAAGAGUUUUGUUGUGAUAAGAACACUGGAAUAUAGACUGAAAUACUAUCCAACCAUUAGACUCAUGAUCCUGACAUGGAUCCAAGAUGUUGGUAACUAGGCGGGACGGAUUGUUACACAGAACUGCAGGUUUCUGACUGGAGACUCAGCGCCAUGUCACAAAUACUUCAGAACCUAGAAUGAAAGUUACCGAAAGAGCAAUAGACUUUCCAAUCUCUACAAAAUUCAUCUUAACUGUUUUUCAAGGUGAUACUUGAGACUACCAAAGACUUUUCAAGGACAGAAUUUACAAAACAGUUUAUGCCACCAUCUCAUAUCAAAGGAUUGUGCUUGAGUUGAACAGCCUUCAAACAGAAACUGCUUCAACACCUUCAUUCUGAUUCAGUUUACCCUUGCUGUGAUCUGAGCAACUAUUUACAUCAAUUCAACAUUGUAAAUUGUUUAAACUUGAAAAUUCUGUCUUCGUGCAACUCACAUGAAUCUAUUUACUGUGGACUUUGAUGUUGACUCUAUACAGGAAGAAGAGACCAUCUUUAUACAUGCUGGCAUAUCUUUUAAAAAGGAAACAAAUAUUAUAACCAACAUACUACACUGUUAUGUCAUCCAAGGACUCAGCUACUGACUCAAUUUAUAAAUACUUCAAAUGUCAAUGUAAUUACUGCUGUGCAUAAUAAGAUAUUUUUUAUUAUGCGCCCCUUCGAAGAAGAGGGGUAUAUUGCUUUGCACAUGUCAGUCGGUCCUGGACGUAUGGUCAUCAAACUUGACAUGAAGGUUGGGCCUGACCAGUAGAUGAUUUUAGGGCUCAUCAGGUCAAAGGUCAAGGUCACAGUGACCUUGAAUGGUAAAUUAAUUUAAAAGCUUGUCCGAGUGAUAACUCAACAAUGCCUAGACCUUUCGUCAUCAAACUUGAUAUGGAAGUUGGGCCUCACCAGUAGAUGACCCCUAUUGGUUUUGGGGAUCAUCGAGCCAAAGAUCAAGGUCACAGUGACCUUGAAUGGUAAAAGGUUGUCCAAGUGAUAAAUCAACAAUGCCUGCCCCCAUGGCCCUCAAACUUGACUCGGAGGUUGGGCCUUACCAGUAGAUGACCCCUAGGUCAAAGUGAUCUUGAAAGCAAACUCGACAAUUCCUGGACCAAUCAUGCCAUUCAGUCUGAAUGGUCAUCAAACUUGACAUAAAGGUUGGGCCUGACCAGUAGAUGACCCCUCUUGACUUUGAGGGUCAUCAAGCCAAGGUCAAGGUCACAAUAACCUUUAAUGCAAAAAAGAUAACAAAUCCUCUCUCAGGGAUAUCUCAACAAUGCCUGAACCUAUGAUCAUCAAACUUGACAGGGAAGUUGGUCCUGACAAGAUGACGCUUAUUGAUUUUAGGAGUCAUUGGGUCAAAGGUCAAGUUCACAGUGACCUUGAAUGCGAAAAUGUUUUUAGUGAUAACUUGACAAUGCCUGUACCCAUGGCCCUCAAACCUGACUUGGAGUUGUGUCUGGCCUGUAAAUGAGUCCCUUUCAUUUUAGGGGUCAUCGGGUCAAACGUCAAGGUCACAGUGACAUUGAUUGAAAAAAGCUUGUCUGUGUGAUAACAUGUCAAUGCCUGAACCCAUGUCCCUCAAACUUGACAUUUAGAUUUUUGUAGACCAGCUGAUGACUCAUAUGGAUUUUGAGGUCAUAGAGUUAAAGGUCAUGGUCAUAACACACUCUAUCCUCAAACUUUGAAUGGUCAUAAUCUUAAAACUGCCUCAACGGCAUCCAAUGUCAGUGACUAAUCAGCUGUCAUUUCGGUACAUGCUUAUUUCAUUCAAUUGUUCAUAUAAUCCUGACAACAUGGCGCUCAGGGGGGCAUAAUGUUUGACAAACAUCUCUUGUUGAUACUUGGCUCAUUUCUUACAUGUAGCUGUAACAUUUUGGGCAACUUCUCAAUUAUUUUGUUUAAGACAUUUUUUAUCCAGCUCAUCUAAGCCUAAGUUAGUGUUCAUGUUAACUUUUAUGACUGCCUGUUUAUUGUACUUUUUAUAAAUUAUUUUUAAUGACUUUUUCUCAAGAACCAUUUGGCUAGGUAUGUCUCCUCCUGAAAUAGACUAAUUCUUUUAGCUCCAGUUGUCUGUCUGUCCGUCUGUUACAAAUUGUGUCUGCUCCAUGUCUCUUUAACCUUUUGAAGGAUUUGAUAUAACUUCCCACAAAUGUACAUCAUAUUGUAAGGAAGGGUUUAUUAUUAUAACUGUUGAGCAGUUUCUGAACUUGACUGUAUUAUAUCUUGCAUUUACCUCAAGCUGUUAAGUGAACAAUAUAACAUUGACCAAUACAAGGAACUAAACCUUCUAGGUCACCAUUUUGGAAUAAAGUAAUACUUAAAGCUCAUAUUUCCAUAAGAAUCUGCUCAUAUACAGUUUAAAUAGCUUAUACAAGUAUAUCAUUUUAACAUAACAUCAGAUCUUCCACUGUUUUAUAUUUGCAACAUUUUUUUUUAAACUUUGAUUUAUAUAUCAUGACUUUUAUGAACAAAUACCAAACAGCAACUCACAGAUCUAUACUCAUUUGGGCAGAUUUUGUAAAUCCAAGCAUUGUCAAUUGAUAUUCAGUGCUUUUUGGCAAAUUGGGGCAUUUUCUGUCACAUUAAAAUCAAUAUUGACAAUAAAUCUCCAACUUCAAUAUUCUUAUAGUUUUGUGCCCAUUCUUUGCCAAUUAUUUGUUU